rnacentral:rRNA from 1 species
UACGAGGGGGGCGAGCGUUGUUCGGAAUUACUGGGCGUAAAGCGUGCGCAGGCGGUUUUGUAAGUCUGUCGUGAAAUCCCCGGGCUCAACCUGGGAAUGGCGAUGGAGACUGCAAGGCUGGAAUCUGGCAGAGGGGGGUAGAAUUCCACGUGUAGCAGUGAAAUGCGUAGAGAUGUGGAGGAAUACCGAUGGCGAAGGCAGCCUCCUGGGCCAACACUGACGCUCAUGCACGAAAGCGUGGGGAGCAAACAGG